rnacentral:rRNA from 1 species
AGACCCGAAACCCGGUGAUCUAGCCAUGGGCAGGUUGAAGGUUGGGUAACACUAACUGGAGGACCGAACCGACUAAUGUUGAAAAAUUAGCGGAUGACCUGUGGCUGGGGGUGAAAGGCCAAUCAAACCGGGAGAUAGCUGGUUCUCCCCGAAAGCUAUUUAGGUAGCGCCUCGUGAAUUCAUCUCCGGGGGUAGAGCACUGUUUCGGCUAGGGGGCCAUCCCGGCUUACCAACCCGAUGCAAACUGCGAAUACCGGAGAAUGUUAUCACGGGAGACACACGGCGGGUGCUAACGUCCGUCGUGAAGAGGGAAACAACCCAGACCGCCAGCUAAGGUCCCAAAGUCAUGGUUAAGUGGGAAACGAUGUGGGAAGGCCCAGACAGCCAGGAUGUUGGCUUAGAAGCAGCCAUCAUUUAAAGAAAGCGUAAUAGCUCACUGGUCGAGUCGGCCUGCGCGGAAGAUGUAACGGGGCUAAACCAUGCACCGAAGCUGCGGCAGCGACGCUGAUGCGUUGUUGGGUAGGGGAGCGUUCUGUAAGCCUGUGAAGGUGUGUCGUGAGGCAUGCUGGAGGUAUCAGAAGUGCGAAUGCUGACAUAAGUAACGAUAAAGCGGGUGAAAAGCCCGCUCGCCGGAAGACCAAGGGUUCCUGUCCAACGUUAAUCGGGGCAGGGUGAGUCGACCCCUAAGGCGAGGCCGAAAGGCGUAGUCGAUGGGAAACGGGUUAAUAUUCCCGUACUUGGUGUUACUGCGAAGGGGGGACGGAGAAGGCUAUGUUGGCCGGGCGACGGUUGUCCCGGUUUAAGCGUGUAGGUGUGUGUUCCAGGUAAAUCCGGUUCACUUUAACACUGAGGCGUGA